rnacentral:rRNA from 1 species
CCUACGGGUGACAGCAGUAGGGAAUUUUGCGCAAUGGGCGAAAGCCUGACGCAGCAACGCCGCGUGAUCGAGACGCCCUUCGGGGUGUAGAGAUCUGUCCGUGGGGACGGAACUUGACGGUACCCACCGAUGCAGCACCGGCUAACUCCGUGCCAGCAGCCGCGGUAAUACGGGGGGUGCACGCGUUGUCCGGAAUCAUUGGGCGUAAAGAGUUCGUAGGAGGCACGUAAAGUCUGGUGGUAAAGGCAGAGGCGCAACUUCUGUACGGCACUGGAUACUUGCGAGCUAGAAUGCGGUAGAGGUAAAGAGAAUUCCUGGUGUAGCGGUGAAAUGCUUAGAUAUCAGGAGGAACAUCGGUGGCGUAAGCGCUAUACUGGGCCGUAAUUGACGCUGAGGAACGAAAGCCAGGGUAGCAAAUGGGAUUAGAUACCCGAGUAGUC